UGAGUACGAGAUGCUACGGCAUCGAAGCAGUGUAUGUCAGACUUCCAAGAAAAGCUCGCAAUGUCUUAAAUAAAUAAUGCCUGUACCAUAACCGACACAGGUGGGUAGGUAGAGUAUACUAAGGGGCGCGAGAUAACUCUCUCUAGGGAACUCGGCAAAAUGACUCCGUAACUUCGGGAGAAGGAGUGCCUUAUUUAUAAGGUUGCAAUAACAAGAUCCAAGCAGCUGUUUACCAAAAACACAGGUCUCCGCUAAGUCGUAAGGCGAUGUAUGGGGGCUGACGCCUGCCCAGUGCCAGAAGGUUAAAGAAGUCGGUUAGCAUUAGCGAAGCUGGUAACUUAAGCCCUGGUGAACGGCGGCCGUAACAAUAACGGUCCUAAGGUAGCGAAAUUCCUUGUCGGGUAAGUUCCGACCCGCACGAAAGGCGUAAUGAUUUGGAUACUGUCUCGGAGAGGGGCUCGGUGAAAUAGACCUGUCUGUGAAGAUGCGGACUACCUGCACCUGGACAGAAAGACCCUAUGAAGCUUUACUGUAACUUGAAAUUGAAAUUGGACUUUAUUUGCGCAGUAUAGGUGGGAGGCAUUGAAAAUAUUCUUGCGGGAAUAUUGGAGCCAUCAGUGAGAUACCACUCUUGUAAUGUUAGAUUUCUAACUUUGUAUCAUAAUCUGGUCAAAGAACAGUUUCAGGCGGGCAGUUUGACUGGGGCGGUCGCCUCCUAAAUGGUAACGGAGGCGUACAAAGGUUUCCUCUGAACGUGUAGAAAUCGUAUCUAGAGUGUAAAGGCACAAGGAAGCUUGACUGUGAGACCUACAAGUCGAGCAGGGACGAAAGUCGGUCUUAGUGAUCUGACGGUACUGAGUGGAAAGGCCGUCACUCAACGGAUAAAAGUUACUCUAGGAUAACAGGCUGAUCUCCCCCAAGAGUUCACAUCGACGGGGAGGUUUGGCACCUCGAUGUCGGCUCAUCGCAUCCUGGGGCGGUAGUACGUCCCAAGGGUUGGGCUGUUCGCCCAUGAAAGCGGUACGCGAGCUGGGUUCAGAACGCCGUGAGACAGUUCGGUCCAUAUCCGGUGUAGGCGUUAGAAUAUUGAGAGGAGCCUUCUUUAGUACGAGAGGACCGAGAAGGACAUACCUCUGGUGUACCAGUUAUCGUGCCAACGGUAAACGCUGGGUAGCUAUGUAUGGAGAGGAUAACCGCUGAAAGCAUCUAAGUGGGAAGCCCACCUCAAGAUGAGUAUUCUC
rnacentral:rRNA from 1 species